rnacentral:rRNA from 1 species
CGGCGGACGGGUGAGUAACGCGUGGGUAACCUGCCUCAUACAGGGGGAUAACAGUUGGAAACGGCUGCUAAUACCGCAUAAGCGCACAGUACCGCAUGGUACGGUGUGAAAAACUCCGGUGGUAUGAGAUGGACCCGCGUCUGAUUAGGUAGUUGGUGGGGUAACGGCCUACCAAGCCGACGAUCAGUAGCCGACCUGAGAGGGUGACCGGCCACAUUGGGACUGAGACACGGCCCAAACUCCUACGGGAGCAGCAUG